GACGAACGCUGGCGGCGUGCCUAACACAUGCAAGUCGAACGGAGUAGAGAGCUUCGGUUUUCUGCUUAGUGGCGAACGGGUGAGUAACCCGUGAGAAACCUGCCUUUCAGUGGGGGACAACAGUUGGAAACGACUGCUAAUACCGCAUAAUGUUUCGAGAGGGCAUCCUUUUGAAACCAAAGCUUUGUGUGCUGAAAGAUGGUCUCGCGUCUGAUUAGCUAGUUGGUGAGGUAACGGCUCACCAAGGCGACGAUCAGUAGCCGGUCUGAGAGGAUGAACGGCCACAUGGGGGCUGAGAUACGGCCCAGACUCCUACGGGAGGCAGCAGUGGGGAAUAUUGGGCAAUGGGGGAAACCCUGACCCAGCAACGCCGCGUGAAGGAAGAAGGCCUUCGGGUUGUAAACUUCUUUUACCAGGGACGAAGAACGUGACGGUACCCGGAGAAAAAGCAACGGCUAACUACGUGCCAGCAGCCGCAGUAACAC
rnacentral:rRNA from 1 species